rnacentral:rRNA from 1 species
CCUACGGGUGGCAGCAGUGAGGAAUAUCGGUCAAUGGACGAGAGUCUGAACCAGCCAAGUAGCGUGAAGGAUGACUGCCCUAUGGGUUUUAAACUUCUUUUAUAUGGGGAUAAACUGUUCCGCGUGUGUGCUUUUGUAUGUACCAUAUGAAUAAGGGUCGGCUAACUCCGUGCCAGCAGCCGCGGUACUACGGAGGAUUCUAGCGUUAUCCGUAUUUAUUGGGUUUAAGGGGAGCGUAGGUGGAUUGUUAAGUCAGUUGUGAAAGUUUGCGGCUCAACCGUAAAAUUGCAGUUGAAACUGGCAGGCUUGAGUACAGUAGAGGUGGGUGGAAUUCGUGGUGUAGCGGUGAAAUGCUUAGAGAUCACGAAGAACUCCGAUUGCGAAGGCAGCUCACUGGACUGCAACUGACACUGAGGCUCGAAAGUGUGGGUAUCAAACAGGAUUAGAUACCCUAGUAGUC